UACUGCACGCUGGUGACAAAG
rnacentral:misc_RNA from 1 species